UCUUCACGGCAAGAUGUUCCUUCUGCAACAGCCUCCCACGAAAUCGCCCACGAAAUUUUCCACCAAAGUGGAGUUGACAGUUCCCUACAGCAUUCUUGAUGUUUCUUCACGGCAAGAUGUUCCUUCUGCAACAGCCUCCCACGAAAUCGCCCACGAAAUCUUCCACCAAAGUGGAGUUGACAGUUCCCUACAGCAUUCUUGAUGUUUCUUCACGGCAAGAUGUUCCUUCUGCAACAGCCUCCCACGAAACUGCCCACGAGAUCUUGCAUCAAAGUCAUUUCAUUGUUGUUGGAGCUUCUGUUGCGUUUUUGUAAUGCUGCGAUACUCCAAUUUUUUUUAACGAUCCCGAAGUGUUGGCAAGUACUUCGAUGCCGACACGUUGGGACCGUCUACGACACAGUGGCUUAGUCGGUACUCGGUAGCCAUUAAGGCGAGUCGGCGCCUGUGUCGUAUUUUGGAGUAGAUUGUUGCAGCUUCAGAAGCUAUAACGCUAAGCUAUAUAACGCUAGUUGGAUGCUGCAGAUAGCGCUUCUUGACAGAUGUUCUUUCACGGGAAAUUGUUCCUUCUGCAACAGCCUCCCACGAAACUGCCCACGAGAUCUUCCACCAAAGUCAUUUCAUCCUUGUUGUAGCUUCUGUUGCGUUUUUGUAAUACGCUUAUACUCCAUUUUUUUUAACGAUCCCGACGUGUUGGCGAGUACUUCGAUGCCAACACGUUGGGACCGUCUACGACACAGUGGCUUAGUCGGUACUCGGUAGCCAUUAAGGCGAGUCGGCGCCUGUGUCGUAUUUUGGAGUAGAUUGUUGCAGCUUCAGAAGCUAUAACGCUAAGCUAUAUAACGCUAGUUGGAUGCUGCAGAUAGCGCUUCUUGACAGAUGUUCUUUCACGGGAAAUUGUUCCUUCUGCAACAGCCUCCCACGAAACUGCCCACGAGAUCUUCCACCAAAGUCAUUUCAUCCUUGUUGUAGCUUCUGUUGCGUUUUUGUAAUACGCUUAUACUCCAUUUUUUUUAACGAUCCCGACGUGUUGGCGAGUACUUCGAUGCCAACACGUUGGGACCGUCUACGACACAGUGGCUUAGUCGGUACUCGGUAGCCAUUAAGGCGAGUCGGCGCCUGUGUCGUAUUUUGGAGUAGAUUGUUGCAGCUUCAGAAGCUAUAACGCUAAGCUAUAUAACGCUAGUUGGAUGCUGCAGAUAGCGCUUCUUGACAGAUGUUCUUUCACGGGAAAUUGUUCCUUCUGCAACAGCCUCCCACGAAACUGCCCACGAGAUCUUCCACCAAAGUCGUUUCAUCCUUGUUGUAGCUUCUGUUGCGUUUUUGUAAUACGCUUAUACUCCAUUUUUUUUAACGAUCCCGACGUGUUGGCGAGUACUUCGAUGCCAACACGUUGGGACCGUCUACGACACAGUGGCUUAGUCGGUACUCGGUAGCCAUUAAGGCGAGUCGGCGCCUGUGUCGUAUUUUGGAGUAGAUUGUUGCAGCUUCAGGUGCAACAAUGUAACAUGUUCGGGCACGUCUUCGCAAACAUUUCCGAUCGCGCUCCGCAAUCAUUUCCGAUUUAGUCCCGGGAGCUGGGGUUGACAUUCUCCUCCGACCUUCUUGCGUUGGCAACAGGAAGGAGGUGGAAGGGGGAACUGCCGGAGGCAGCGACAAGCUCCCAGAUUGAAGGUCUCUUUAAAGUAAGAUAUAUAUUAUAUAAUAUAAUUAUAUUUUUUGGGUCAUAAUUAUUUAGGGCCUGGUACAAAUAACUUCGAUGUGAAUGCUGUGGAUGAAGAUGAUGAAAUAGCAAAGAUACACGACGAAGAAUAUCUACUAGCAAAAUCUGAAGAAGACGUUCGAAAAGCUGAUAUAAAAGCUAUCGGAAGUUUUUUGGAAACGAAAACAGUUGGCGGAACACUUGGUGCAAUUGGAUUAUCUGGAAAAUACGCAAUUGAAUCAUUAACAGGUGUUCUUUAUCCAAGAAUGGCUCCAACAAGAGGAGAAAAAAGACAACGAAUUGAAGAUGACAGUGGUAUAAAGAAUCCACAAGAUGCUUCACAAGAACAAAAUAUUGGCGUUGAUCAAGUUCAAGGAUCAUCAAUGCCUGGUGGAACUGGAAGUGAUGCUAUAGCAACUAUUAUACUUGAUCCCGGAAUAACUAAAGUACAAGGAAUUUAUCGUAAAACAUUUCAAGUUGAUACAGCUGGAUUACAAUUUGGUAUAAAAAAUUUCGAUAGUUGGAAAGAUUUCUGGGAUAUCAAUAAUUUUGAGUUGUUAAACUACACCUUUUGUAGAUAUGACUCCUAAUAAUUUACAAUUAUUUAUGACUCCAACUGAAUUUAGUAAUCUUCCUUUAAAUACGUGGGCAAAAAGAUGUAGAAUCAAAGUAACUCCAUUAGGUUAUAGAUUGCCAUCUGCAACUAAUGAAGCUGUUUCUUCUUUUGCUAAUAGCCAAACUUUGGUUCAAAUUGGACAUGGAGUAGGAUUAAAUAAAAUAAUGAAUUAUAUAUCAACAAGUAUUUGUGUGGAUCUUGCAGAUUUAACAUCAGUAAAUGCUUUAUCAAAUUCUAUGAUACCUGCUAAUACAUUAUAUGGUAUUGAUAAUUCAAUAGGUUGUAAUAUGGGUAUACCGCGUCAUUGGAAUAAAUAUAUUGUAAUUCCUAAAUUCAAAAAACAUAAGGGAACUCCAAAUUUUUUAAGACAUUAUCAAAUUCGAAAUGUCAAUGAUUGUAAUGGAAUACCAGUUAUAGAUUAUACCUAUAAUUUCAAAUGUGGUAUUUUAAAAUUUCCUUAUAUGGCACAAAGAAGUCAAACAGCAAUGCCAUUAGUCGGAGGUUUUACUAAUUCUUUAUGUACAGAAGUUGCUUCUAAUUAUACUGCUGAUUCAGCAAAAGCUACAAAAGAUCCUAUAAGUAGUAAAAUAUCUGCUACAUCUUCUAAACCUUAUUUUAGUGAUCAUUUGCAGUAUAAUAAUAUAAUUGAAAAAUCUGCUUAUAUGCAAAGAAAUGUUGGUCAUUCUUUAACUCCCGAUGCACCCCCUACAUUGGCAUUCGGUACAAAGUACAAAGUACAAAGUAAUGCUGCUUUAUCUCCUACUGCAACUUUUGCUAAUGUUGUCGUUCAAUGGCAAAUAGAAACUAUGUUAGAAACAGAACAUAAUAUUGAUAGUGUCCAUCCUAAUGUUAAUAUUCCAAUUAUACAAGGAUUGGAUUCACUUAUGCUUCAAUUUCUUUUGGAGCUGAUGAAUUGAAUAGUGAUCUAAAUAUUGCAUAUAUAGCUGGAAGUAUAUUUAUUAUUUAUUGGAUAUAGCAUUAC